ensembl:lncRNA
GUCCGCCGGAUCGUCAACACCAUCCCCAUCACGCUGCGGCUGCUGCUGCACCGCCACGGCGCCGCCGGGACGCUGUCGCCGCGCGCGGCCGCCGCAUGGGUGGUGCUGGCCGACCGCUGGCCCUGCCGCCUCAGCUGGACCCUGCAGUGCCUGGAGGAUUCCGGCCAGGGCGCGGCCGCGCCGGGUUCGGCGGGGAGAUCCCUCUGGAGCGUUUUCCAGGACCACGUGGGCGAGCUGAGCGCGCUGCGGCAGCCGCUGGGGAAGGUGCUGAGCUUGGACGGGGAUCCGGAGCUUUUCCAGGCCUUCCUGGCGCGGGAUUUCCCCUUCGGCGCGGCCGAGGCGCGGGAGCUGCUGGGGGUGACGGUGAACCUGGACCAUUCCAUCCGGCACCAGAUGGGGCUGCUCCGGGCGCUGCAGAGGCUCGGGAGGACGGCGCCGGUGUCGCGCGGGGUGCAGUGCGCCGGCGGGCAGUGACCGACCCCGGAUCGUCCUCGGGAUCCUCGGGAUCGUCGGGAUCGUCCUCGGGAUCAUCGGGAUUGUCAUUGGGAUUGUCAUCAGCAUCAUCAGGAUCAUCAGGAUCAUCAUCAAGAUCAUUGGGAUCCUCAUCGGGAUCAUCAGGAUCAUCAUCAAGAUCAUCGGGAUCGUUGAGAUCCUCAUUGGGAUCAUCGGGAUCAUCGGCAUUGUCAUUGGGAUCUUCAGGAUCAUCAUCAAGAUCAUCGGGAUCAUUGAGAUCCUCAUUGGGAUCCUCAUCAGGAUCAUUGGCAUUGUCAUUGGGAUCUUCAGGAUCAUCAUCAAGAUCAUCGGGACCAUUGAGAUCCUCAUUGGGAUCAUCGGGAUCAUCGGCAUUGUCAUCGGGAUCUUCAGGAUCAUCAUCAAGAUCAUCGGGAUCAUUGAGAUCCUCAUUGGGAUCACUGGGAUCAUCACUGGGAUCAUUGGGAUCAUCAUAAAGAUCACUGGAUCAUUGAGAUCCUCAUCGGGAUCAUCAGGAUCCUCAUUGGGAUCAUCGGGAUCGUCACUGAAAUCCUCAUCAGAAUCAUCAGGAUCCUCAUUGGGAUCAUCAGGAUCAUCGGGAUCAUCAUUAAGAUCCUCACUGGGGUCAUCAGGAUUAUCAGAACCAUCGCUGGGAUCAUCAUCGAGAUCAUUGGGAUCAUCACUGGGAUCAUCAGAACCCUUACUGGGAUCAUCAGAACCCUUACUGGGAUCAUCAGGAUCUUCGGGAUCAUCAUCGGGAUCUUCAGGAUCCUCAUCAGGACCAUUGAGACCAUCAGAACCAUCACUGGGAUCAUCGGGAUCCUCACUGGGAUCCUCAUCGGGAUCAUUGGGAUCAUCACUGGGAUCAUCAGAACCGUUAUUUGGAUCAUUGGGAUCUUCAGGAUCCUCAUCAGGAUCAUCGGAACCAUCAGAACCAUCAUUGGGAUCGUCGGGAUCCUCACUGGGAUCAUCGGGAUCAUCGCUGGGAUCAUCAGAACCGUUAUUGGGAUCAUCGAGAUCUUCGGGAUCCUCAUCGGGAUCAUCACUGGGAUUCUCGGGAUCCUCAUCAGGAUCCUCUUUGGGAUCCCCAUCGGGAUCAUUGGGAUCAUCCAGACCAUCGGGAUCCUCACUGGGAUCCUCACUGGGAUCCUCACUGGGAUCAUCGGGAUCUUCAGGAUCCUCAUCAGGACCAUUGAGAACUUCAUUGGGAUCCUCAGGAUCCUCACUGGGAUCCUCAUCGGGAUCCCCGGGAUCCUCACUGGGAUCCUCGGGAUCAUCCAGACCAUCGGGAUCCUCACUGGGAUCAUCAUCGGGACCAUCGGGAUCCUCACUGGGAUCCUCAUCGGGAUCCCCGGGAUCAUCCAGACCAUCGGGAUCCCCGGGAUCCUCACCGGGAUCAUCGGGAUCAUGCAGACCAUCGGGAUCCUCACUGGGAUCCUCACCGGGAUCCCCGGGAUCAUCCAGACCAUGGGGAUCAUCACUGGGAUCCUCUCUGGGAUCCCCGGGAUCCUCACUGGGAUCCCCGGGAUCAUCCAGACCAUCGGGAUCUUCGGGAUCCUCUCUGGGAUCCCCGGGAUCCCUCCGAGGGCAAGCGAGAGCUCCGGGAGGAUUUUGGGGGGAAACUUUUUUUGGGGGUGGGAAAACGGGGAUUGGGAAUUGUGGGAUUUUAUCCCGGAAUUUGGAUCCUGGGGAAUUCCUGGAGGGGUUCGGGAGGAUCCAGAGGGAAUUCCCGGGGUUUAUUCCCGGGAUUUCGUCACUGGGAAUUCCUGGAGGGGCUUGGGAGGAUCCAGAGGGAAUUCCCGGGGUUUAUUCCCGGGAUUUCAUCACUGGGAGACGCUGGGAGGGAGUGGGGAGAUCCGAGGGCAUCCCAAGGCUCCUGGAACCCCAAGGAAUUCUGAUCCCCCCGGGAAUUCCCCCACCCCGAGACGUUCCCGGGACCUCUUCCCAAAAUUCGGGAGGGGAAAAACCGGGAAAAGCCCCAAAUCCAGGCCGCUCCCAACCCCCAUCCCGCCGGAAUUCCGGGGAAAAGCCCCCGGGAUCGCCCCCAAUAAAACAAAUUCCACCCCCGGCUCUGCGCUCUGGGAUUUUUUUGGGAUUCCCGGCGGGAAUUCCCGCCCCUUCCGGGAUUUUUUUUUGGGGUUUCACCCCCUUCACCCCCCCCCUUUAAUCCCAGAAUUCCCAAAAUCCCGGAAUUCCCGGAUGAGCCCCCAGAAAGAGGGCGGGUGACGAAUGCAGAAUUCCUUUAAUUAGAAAACAGCCGUUAAGGAAAGAAAAUCCAAGGAAAAACCAAAAACCAAAAAAAAAAAAAAACCCGGGAAAAACAAACAAACAAACAAACAAAAAAAAAACCGGGAAAAGACGGAAAAAAAUCCCCCAAAUCCCAAAAAAAAAAAAAAAAACCCCAACGAAACAAGCCCAGGAAAACACCAGCGAAAAUUCCCGGCCGGAAUAUCGGGAAUAUCCCUCCGGAAUUCCCAUUCCCAACCCCUCCCCCAGCCCCAAAAGCUCCCUGAAAGAUUUUAUUGCACUUAAGAAAGAAAAGCGACCCCUCCCCCACUCUGGGAAUUCCCUGGGAAUUCCGGGAAUUUCGGGAAUUCCGGGCUGGGAGAUUCCCCGCGGCGCGUCCCGGAUUUUGUUUUUAUUUUCUUUUCCGCAUCCCGGAUUUCUUUUUUCCUCCUCCUCUGUCGCUCCGGAAAUUUGGGAUCAGCGAGGAAUUCCGACCCCUCCCUCUCCCAUUUUUCCCUCCUGGAUUUUUUUUCCCGGGAAUUCUGCAUCUCCCGGGUUUUUUUUCCCGGGAAUUCUGCAGCUCCUGUUGUUUAUUCCCGGGAAUUCUGCAG